CCACUGUUGUCCAAAAUAUUUGGAUGUGAUUUAUGCCUAUUCCCGGGAAAUUGGCAAGGUUUGCUGGACUCUGAAUUUAGUGGAAACAUUUAACUGAAGAAAGCUUCUGAGAGGCCGUGGAAAGCAUGCUGAAGUGGAUGGAUGUUGAAAAACUGCAACUGGAAAAGAUAAGAAUUGGGAAUUUAAACUGUUCUUGCCAAAGCACCCUUCCAGUCCCCAGGAUUAUUGGGUAGAAAACCACACACAGGCUUACUACCUUGGCUUGAGAUCAUGUCAAAGAGAGUUCAGGGAUGGAAAAGUAUCUGGAAAGUAUCUAAAACCAGGCAAAAGUCAAUGAAGCUUUUCUCCCCCUUGAAAAGCUGUUACGGAAAGGCUCAGAUGGCAGGAAACCAGGUUUCUUGGAUUGAGGUGUCAGAAGACAGAAUUGGAAAUUGGAGGAGAAACGAAAACUUAGGAGGAUUUUCCAAAGGCAGGGAAUCCAUUGAGAGUGCGAAUCACAAAAUUUGAAGUUUUACAUACAUUAUAAUGCAUCACAUCUGGAGUGACAUGGGGAGAGAAAACUAUGUGAGCUCAACAGCUAUUGACUGUCUUGACCUCAAACAUUUUCCAUUGCUACCUACUUUUCUCGAGAGUGGAUCUAUUCACAAAAACCAAGGCUGGCUGGAUGGAGGAUUAGAGGCUGCUUCCUUUUUCUUGCCACUAAGGUCUGAACCAGCUGAGUGUCCCUUUGAUAUCACUGUAAUCCAUCUUAUUUAAGGUGGAGCAUUUGAUUUCUUCACCACCAGGCCUCCCUUCCACUUCAGGAAAUAAUCCUCUUUCAAUCUCCUGCUCAUUGAAAUAAAAAUACCAUCUCAUAU